CAGGAUGAACGCUAGCGACAGGCUAACACAUGCAAGUCGAGGGGCAGCAUAGAAGUAGCAAUACUCGGUGGCGACCGGCGCACGGGUGAGUAACGCGUAUGCAACCUACCUAUCAGAGGGGAAUAACCCGGCGAAAGUCGGACUAAUACCGCAUAAAACAGGGGCACCGCAUGGUGAUAUUUGUUAAAGAAAUUCGCUGAUAGAUGGGCAUGCGUUCCAUUAGGUAGUUGGUGAGGUAACGGCUCACCAAGCCGACGAUGGAUAGGGGAACUGAGAGGUUGGUCCCCCACACUGGUACUGAGACACGGACCAGACUCCUACGGGAGGCAGCAGUGAGGAAUAUUGGUCAAUGGGCGGGAGCCUGAACCAGCCAAGUCGCGUGAAGGAAGAAGGAUCUAUGGUUCGUAAACUUCUUUUGCAGGGGAAUAAAGUGCAGGACGUGUCCUGUUUUGUAUGUACCCUGAGAAUAAGGAUCGGCUAACUCCGUGCCAGCCGCCGC
rnacentral:rRNA from 1 species